rnacentral:rRNA from 1 species
UACGAAGGGGGCUAGCGUUGCUCGGAAUCACUGGGCGUAAAGCGCACGUAGGCGGAUUGCUAAGUCAGGGGUGAAAUCCUGGAGCUCAACUCCAGAACUGCCUUUGAUACUGGCGAUCUCGAGUCCGGGAGAGGUGAGUGGAACUGCGAGUGUAGAGGUGAAAUGCGUAGAUAUCAGGAGGAACACCUAUGGCGAAGGCAGCUCGCUGGGACGGUACUGACGCUGAGGCGCGAAAGCGUGGGGAGCGAACAGG